rnacentral:rRNA from 1 species
AUUGAACGCUGGCGGCAUGCUUUACACAUGCAAGUCGAACGGCAGCGCGGGCUUCGGCCUGGCGGCGAGUGGCGAACGGGUGAGUAAUGCAUCGGAACGUGCCCAGUAGUGGGGGAUAGCCCGGCGAAAGACGGAUUAAUACCGCAUACGACCUGAGGGUGAAAGCGGGGGACCGAAAGGCCUCGCGCUAUUGGAGCGGCCGAUGUCGGAUUAGCUAGUUGGUGGGGUAAAGGCUUACCAAGGCGACGAUCCGUAGCUGGUCUGAGAGGACGACCAGCCACACUGGGACUGAGCCACGGCCCAGACUCCUACGGGAGGCAGCAGUGGGGAAUUUUGGACAAUGGGGGCAACCCUGAUCCAGCCAUGCCGCGUGCGGGAAGAAGGCCUUCGGGUUGUAAACCGCUUUUGUUCGGGAAGAAAUCCUCUGGGCUAAUACCCCGGGGGGAUGACGGUACCGGAAGAAUAAGCACCGGCUAACUACGUG